AUGUGUUAUUUGGACAUCGCCCUGAGCAAUGAUAUGACCGAUGAAGCAAUUGACAUCAUCCAAAGGUAUCGCUAUAGUGUUUUUGGUAGAUGCAAUCAUACCAAAAACAGGGGGGCAUAUGUUAAUGAUGAAAUUUGGCUUGCCAGUUUUACAAAUUUGACAGCUGUUGGAAUCGGAGUUCAGCUAAAAGUGCAGAUCAGAAAUAUGUUCAGUGCAGAGGAUAAAUAUGGUAAUACUUUCAGGAUGGGGUUCUUGCUUAGACAGCAGAGGGGCAAGGAAGAAAUCUGGUCUGGGGAAUAUUUGAGAUAG
rnacentral:rRNA from 1 species